UACGUAGGUGGCAAGCGUUGUCCGGAUUUAUUGGGUUUAAAGGGUGCGUAGGCGGCCUUAUAAGUCAGUGGUGAAAUCCUAUCGCUUAACGAUAGACGUGCCAUUGAUACUGUAGGGCUUGAGUACAGAUGCCGUUGGCGGAAUGUGUCAUGUAGCGGUGAAAUGCAUAGAUAUGACACAGAACACCGAUUGCGAAGGCAGCUGACGAAACUGUAACUGACGCUGAGGCACGAAAGCGUGGGGAUCAAACAGG
rnacentral:rRNA from 1 species